rnacentral:piRNA from 1 species
UCCCUGGUUAUAUUGUUUCUAACGAUACUC